rnacentral:rRNA from 1 species
AAACAUGUCUUUUUGAAAAUAAUAAAAAGUCUAAUCUGCCCACUGAAUUUAUUUAAAGGGCUGCAGUAUAUUGACUGUACAAAGGUAGCAUAAUCAAUAGUCUUUUAAUUGAAGACUUGUAUGAAUGAUUUGAUGAAAUAUGAACUGUCUCUUUUUUAAAAAUAAAAUUUAAUUUUUUAGUUAAAAAGCUAAAAUAAUUAUAAAAGACGAGAAGACCCUAUAGAGUUUUAUAGUUAUUUAAUUUAAAAAUUUUAUAUAUAAUUUAAAUUUAAAAUUAAUUAAUUAUUUUAUUGGGGUGAUAGAAAAAUUAAAAAAACUUUUUUUUAAAAUUUAACAUUAAUUUAUGAAAUUAUGAUCCAUAAUUUAUGAUUAAAAGAAUCAAUUACCUUAGGGAUAACAGCGUAAUUUUUUUUUUUAGUACAAAUAAGAAAAAGAGUUUGCGACCUCGAUGUUGGAUUAAGAUAAAAUUUAAAUGCAAAAGUUUAAAAUUUUUGAUCUGUUCGAUCAUUAAAAUCUUACAUGAUCUGAGCUCAAAC